AUGUUGGAAAACAAAACUAGCACAAGACUGCUGCUACAAUUAAAAGACUGCUCUUUUUCAUUUUUUGGCAACUACAUCAGGAUGCAAAUAUAUGCAAACCUUUAGAAAAAUAAAUAGAACAAAUUGGUAGUAAACUGUUAGUGUAUGCAAAUUCGCUGUGGGUAGAGGGGAAAAUUAUGUGAGAUUUUUUUUAAAUUAACGUGCUAGUAUAAAUGCAGUGUUGCAAAUAUUUUGGGAUAUCACCAUGAAAAAG
rnacentral:misc_RNA from 1 species